GUUAAGAGCGGUGUUAUCCUGCGGUCACGUCACAGAUCCAGAGACACUGACUGAUUGUUGCAGAGCUCAGAUGGAUGAUGGAAAGACCGAAUUCAAAUGUCCGCUGUGUGAGAAGAAAUGGCCAUAUGAUGAAGUGCGAAAACUGGCAAAACUUUCAGAUAAUGAGAAAUUAAUUUUUGAGGACAAGGUCGGGACAAACACUGUUAAGAAGUUAGUCGACUUCAGGGGUUGUCCUGGUUGUGGCACCUUCGUUGAAAGGUUGGAUGUUUCCAAUCUCUGUGUAAAAUGCUCAGUUUGCACAGAAAGGACCAGAAAAACCUAUCAUUUCUGCUGGCAGUGUCUGAGAGAGUGGAAAGGACCUGGACCUCGAGCUGAUCGAUGUGCUAAUGUGGGAUGUACAAUUGACCAGAAACUGCUUAAAGACUGUCCGAUGAUCACUUUAAAAUCAGUUCAAAAUGUGCAGUGUCCAGCGAUCCGUGCAUGCACAUCUUGUGGCAUUCUGCUUGAACACAAUAACAAGGGACAUAAAAUUAUAGAAUGUCAUGCAUGCAAUAACCGAUUUUGUUUUAUCUGUUUAAAGCCUGCAGAUGAGUGCAUAAAAUCAGCAACCCAUUACAUUGUAUGCACAGCUGGUGUUGCACCAAGACAGGUUGAUUAAGCAUAUGUGCAACAAAAUUGAUAUCAGCAAGAGUGCACAGAAAGCAUGGUCUCUCCUGCAUUAAAUUUGAAAUAAUUUAAUUUGACAUGUUUAGCUAUUUGG